AAGCCUACUUCAAAAGGUACACACUCUUCCACAACUAAAUCUGUUCCCAGUUCAAAACCUGCCAGUACGAGGGUUGUUGCCACUACUACAACAACAAAUUUGUUUAUUAAUGUCACAAGUACUUCCUCGAAGGAUACCCACACAGGUUCAAGAUUUGAUGCUGGAAGUUUCAUAGGUGGUAUUUUGCUGACUCUUUCGCUUGUAGCUCUGGCGUAUCUUUCUUGCAAGUGCAUACGUGCACAACGGGGUGUUCGAUACACAUCUAUUGAGGAACACGAUGCUAUUAUUUAGCCAUUUGAUCAGUGGAGAUGACAGAGUGGAAAAAGUUUUCCUAGUUUUGAACCCCAAACCAUUUACCUCCCAUUAUUUCAGUCUUCAAUGUUUUUUUAUGUAUUUACAUAUUGCAAAAUCUCUGUAGUCUGGUUCUGGUAUUUAUGAAUUUUGAAUUUGUUAUGGUAAGAACUGGUGAAAUUAAUAGCCAUACUGAAUACUACGGAUCUCUCAGAUUUUUUUUUCAUGCCUGUGUUACAGCAUAAAAAUCAUUACGACAGUAGUUAUUUUUUUUAUGACUUGCUUAUCAUAGUUAUGUUUAUGUGGUUAUAUUCAGGACAGUAUUUGGUUUAGUUUGCUUAAGUCUAGAAUACUCCUUGAAGACAUAAUGCAUCUUUACCUGAGUUACUGCAUUAAUGCUACUCAGAAAUGAAGAUAGACUUGCCCUACAUGUCGUUUGUAAAGGAAAUUUGAAUUCAAGCAAGCAGGCUAAUAGUAAAUUUAUUCAGAUACUUUUAAGGGUACUGUCACUGUUAAUUAUUUUAAAGUGUUUUCCUUGUGUGAAAUAUUGUAAAACUGAUGUACAAAAAUGUUAUACAUGUGUGAUGAUAUUGUAAGCUCCAGAUCCUAAAGGUUUUAAAAUUUCUUUAUUCUUAAAAGUGCAAGAAGGCUAAACAAAGUCAGCCAUGUAAUCAGCCUUCCAUUCCAGUUUGAGAGACUCAGCAGGAUCCUGACUUUUUAAAUAAGUGAUCUGUACAUGAACAUACACACAGGGUGUAUGUAGAUUAUAAUCCAAAAUUAUUUUGCUAAAACAGAAGAAAUUACUAGAAAUUAAGACAUGUUAAAUUUCUGUGGUAUAUAUGUACCAUAAUUAACAUCACACAAGAAUUCCAUUUAUUUUUCUUAAUUAUUUAAAUGUAGGCUAAGGUAGUCACAAGGUUGAAGCAAAACUCAGGAAUGGGCAAUGAAUACUGGAAAAUUCUUUAAAAUAUCUUCCUGCAUUUUCAUUCACCCCUGUUCAAACAAGUGAACAGAUUGUUAAAGCACCUAUUUAACAAUACCAUAUGGUCUGCAUAGUGAAAUGAAACAAAUUACCAAAGUGAUUAAUGUAUACAAAAUGAAAUGCAAAUGUAUUAUUUUGUUGUACACUUAUUUUUGUUAUUGUGUUUAAAGGUUCGGGCUGCUUUGAAUAGACAAUCAUUUCUGUUGAUAUGACAUGGUGUAUGUAGCAGGUAUUGUUCUGCUUAUCUGCCCUCUUGUAAAUAGACGUUUCCUUGCAAAUAUGUGACUUAUUGUAUUGGAAAAUGCCUUGUAAUAAUGGCCUAACGGUGUAAAAAGAAAAUGAUUGGCAUUGAGGGUUUUAUGUCAGUUUUAUGUGAAGUAAGAAAAUGUUAUUUGAAACAUUUUAUCAUAAAACCUACUGCUUUUUAUGUCCUGUGAAUUAGUUAUCCUGAUUAAGAACUUUGGUACUUUAUAUGUGAAAAUUCAAAGUGAAGGUAUAUUUCUCUGCAGUUUAUGGUAACAUUUACCAGUACUGACUUCAAAAUCUGGUAACAGGAUUACUUUCUGUUUUCCCCUCAUGUUGUCUGAAAUUAUAUUUUAUUUCCAAGCAGUGAACUGUUACUUCUUUAAGUUGACUUUUUUGUUUUAACCAAGUUUUUUCAUCUGUGUUUUCCUUCUCUGUCAGAGGUGCAGAAAAGUAUAUUGCCUGAAGGGUGGUUUGGCUAUUUCUGUUCUCUUGUCUUAGCCAUGUCAGCUGUGUAUUGUUAAUUAUACAGGAUUCCCAAGCUAGUUCUUUAUGUAUAAAAUAUAAUGCAGUAACAGAAACAGUCAUCUGUUCAUCUGCUUAUUCCUCUUGUCAUUGUCUCUUGAUAUCACAUUAAGCACUUGUGCUGUACCAGAAAAAUGCCUCUUCAAAAUUGUCAUCUGACAAAAUGAGUGAUUUCUGGAGGUUGAUAGAAAACAUUUGGAACACUGGGAAUAUGUUAAUAACUGACUUCUGCUGUUUGUCAAAUGUAGGAUUUCUAUAGGUUUUCAGACAAAAAAAUACAGCAAUGGGAAAAUGUUUAUCUCCAGCAUAGUUUACUUUUUACACCAGAUUUUAUAUUGUGCUUUCAGAUUUAAAAUAUUCUAAUUACAAAACAGAAGUAUUUCACAAAUAAAAAAAAAAUAACCAUCAGUUAAAAACC